rnacentral:rRNA from 1 species
GUGCCAGCAGCCGCGCGGUAAUACGUAGGGUGCGAGCGUUAAUCGGAAUUACUGGGCGUAAAGCGUGCGCAGGCGGUUGGGUAAGACAGAUGUGAAAUUCCCGGGCUCAACCUGGGAACUGCAUUUGUGACUGCCCGACUAGAGUACGGCAGAGGGGAGUGGAAUUCCGCGUGUAGCAGUGAAAUGCGUAGAUAUGCGGAGGAACACCGAUGGCGAAGGCAGCUCCCUGGGCCUGUACUGACGCUCAUGCACGAAAGCGUGGGGAGCAAACAGGAUUAGAUACCCUGGUAGUCCACGCCCUAAACGAUGUCGACUAGUUGUUGGACGGGAUACUGUUCAGUAACGUAGCUAACGCGUGAAGUCGACCGCCUGGGGAGUACGGCCGCAAGGUUAAAACUCAAAGGAAUUGACGGGGACCCGCACAAGCGGUGGAUGAUGUGGUUUAAUUCGAUGCAACGCGAAAAACCUUACCUACCCUUGACAUGCCAGGAACUUGCCAGAGAUGGCUUGGUGCUCGAAAGAGAACCUGGACACAGGUGCUGCAUGGCUGUCGUCAGCUCGUGUCGUGAGCUGUUGGGUUAAGUCCCGCAACGAGCGCAACCCUUGUCAUUAGUUGCUACGCAAGAGCACUCUAAUGAGACCGCCGGUGACAAACCGGAGGAAGGUGGGGAUGACGUCAGUCCUCAUGGCCCUUAUGGGUAGGGCUA